GGCUAACGCUGGCGGCGUGUCUUAGCCAUGCAAGUCGAGCGGACUUAUGGGGUAACUUAUAAGUCAGCGGCGGACGGCGGAGUAACACGUAGCUAACCUACCCUCUGGACGGGGAUAACCUACCGAAAGGUGGGCUAAUACCCGAUGUAGUCAUCCUGUAUAGGGGUGAUGAAAGGUGGGCUUCUGUUUACAAGCUCAUGCUGGAGGAGGGGGCUGCGGCCUAUCAGGUAGUUGGUAGGGUAAUAGCCUACCAAGCCGAUGACGGGUAGCCGGCCUGAGAGGGUGACCGGCCCGAGGGGCACUGAGAUACGGGUCCCACUCCUACGGGAGGCAGCAGGCUAGAAAUUUGGGCAAUGGGGGAAACCCUGACCCAGUGACGCCGCGUGCAGGAAGAGCCCUUCGGGUGUAAACUGCUGUCGUGUAGGGAGAAGGGUACUAAGGUGAACAAUCUUAGUAACUUGACGGUACUACAGGAGGAAGCCCAGGCUAACCUCGUG
rnacentral:rRNA from 1 species